rnacentral:rRNA from 1 species
CCUACGGGUGGCAGCAGUGGGGAAUAUUGCACAAUGGGGGAAACCCUGAUGCAGCGACGCCGCGUGAGUGAAGAAGUAAUUCGUUACGUAAAGCUCUAUCAGCAGGGAAGAAAAUGACGGUACCUGAGUAAGAAGCCCCGGCUAACUACGUGCCAGCAGCCGCGGUAAUACGGAGGGGGAAAGCGUUAUCGGGAUUGACGGGGGGUAAGGGGAGCGGAGACGGUGUGCGAAGUCUGGAGUGAAAUGCCGCAGCUUAACUGCGGAACUGCUUUGGAUACUGGGGAACUAGAGUGAGGGAGGGGUAAGCGGAAUUCCUGGUGUAGCGGUGAAAUGCGUAGAUAUUAGGAGGAACACCGGUGGCGAAGGCGGCUUCCUGGACAGUAACUGACGUUGAGGCUCGAAAGCGUGGGGAGCAAACAGGAUUAGAUACCCCUGUAGUC